UACGAAGGGUGCAAGCGUUGUUCGGAAUCAUUGGGCGUAAAGCGCGCGCAGGCGGAUCAGCAAGUCAGAUGUGAAAUCUCGGGGCUCAACCUCGAAACUGCGUCUGAAACUGCUAGUCUAGAAUGUCGGAGGGGGCAGGGGAAUUUCACGUGUAGGGGUAAAAUCCGUAGAGAUGUGAAGGAACACCGGAGGCGAAGGCGCCUGCCUGGACGACUAUUGACGGCUGAGGCGCGAAAGCGUGGGGAGCAAACAGG
rnacentral:rRNA from 1 species